rnacentral:rRNA from 1 species
GAUGAACGCUGGCGGCGUGCCUAAUACAUGCAAGUCGAGCGAACGGACGAGAAGCUUGCUUCUCUGAUGUUAGCGGCGGACGGGUGAGUAACACGUGGAUAACCUACCUAUAAGACUGGGAUAACUUCGGGAAACCGGAGCUAAUACCGGAUAAUAUUUUGAACCGCAUGGUUCAAAAGUGAAAGACGGUCUUGCUGUCACUUAUAGAUGGAUCAGCGCUGCAUUAGCUAGUUGGUAAGGUAACGGCUUACCAAGGCAACGAUGCAUAGCCGACCUGAGAGGGUGAUCGGCCACACUGGAACUUAGACACGGUCCAGACUCCUACGGGAGGCAGCAGUAGGGAAUCUUCCGCAAUGGGCGAAAGCCUGACGGAGCAACGCCGCGUGAGUGAUGAAGGUCUUCGGAUCGUAAAACUCUGUUAUUAGGGAAGAACAUAUGUGUAAGUAACUGUGCACAUCUUGACGGUACCUAAUCAGAAAGCCACGGCUAACUACGUG